GGGGUUAUAGCUCAGCUGGGAGAGCGCCUGCCUUCUGCCUUGCACGCAGGAGGUCUGCGGUUCGAUCCCGCAUAGCUCCACCA
rnacentral:tRNA from 1 species